rnacentral:misc_RNA from 1 species
CCUCGGUGCUCAUCAGGUA